UACGUAGGGUGCAAGCGUUACUCGGAAUUACUGGGCGUAAAGCGUGCGCAGGCGGUGUUGUAAGACAGGUGUGAAAUCCCCGGGCUUAACCUGGGAACUGCAUUUGUGACUGCAUUGCUGGAGUGCGGCAGAGGGGGAUGGAAUUCCGCGUGUAGCAGUGAAAUGCGUAGAUAUGCGGAGGAACACCGAUGGCGAAGGCAAUCCCCUGGGCCUGCACUGACGCUCAUGCACGAAAGCGUGGGGAGCAAACAGG
rnacentral:rRNA from 1 species